AUACUCUAGUUUCUUUUUAAAAUGAUCAAAUCUUUUGACUUUUGCUAAAAAUACUUCUGUGGAGAAGACCAACCAUGAGUUUUGGUGAUUUUUUUUGAUGCCUGGCUAAUGCUAGGCU